UUCUUGGAGAGUUUGAUCCUGGCUCAGGACGAACGCUGGCGGCGUGCCUAAUACAUGCAAGUCGAGCGAAAGUUUCAAAAGCUUGCUUUUGAAACUUUAGCGGCGGACGGGUGAGUAACACGUGGGCAACCUGCCUGUAAGACUGGGAUAACUCCGGGAAACCGGGGCUAAUACCGGAUAAUCCUUUUCCCUGCAUAGGGAAAAGCUGAAAGACGGUUUCGGCUGUCACUUACAGAUGGGCCCGCGGCGCAUUAGCUAGUUGGUGGGGUAAUGGCCCACCAAGGCGACGAUGCGUAGCCGACCUGAGAGGGUGAUCGGCCACACUGGGAC
rnacentral:rRNA from 1 species